AGUGGCGACGGGUGAGUAACACGUGGGCAAUCUGCCCUGCACUCUGGGACAAGCCCUGGAAACGGGGUCUAAUACCGGAUACUGACCCUCACGGGCAUCUGUGAGGUUCGAAAGCUCCGGCGGUGCAGGAUGAGCCCGCGGCCUAUCAGCUUGUUGGUGAGGUAAUGGCUCACCAAGGCGACGACGGGUAGCCGGCCUGAGAGGGCGACCGGCCACACUGGGACUGAGACACGGCCCAGACUCCUACGGGAGGCAGCAGUGGGGAAUAUUGCACAAUGGGCGAAAGCCUGAUGCAGCGACGCCGCGUGAGGGAUGACGGCCUUCGGGUUGUAAACCUCUUUCAGCAGGGAAGAAGCGAAAGUGACGGUACCUGCAGAAGAAGCGCCGGCUAACUACGUGCCAGCAGCCGCGGUAAUACGUAGGGCGCGAGCGUUGUCCGGAAUUAUUGGGCGUAAAGAGCUCGUAGGCGGCUUGUCACGUCGGUUGUGAAAGCCCGGGGCUUAACCCCGGGUCUGCAGUCGAUACGGGCAGGCUAGAGUUCGGUAGGGGAGAUCGGAAUUCCUGGUGUAGCGGUGAAAUGCGCAGAUAUCAGGAGGAACACCGGUGGCGAAGGCGGAUCUCUGGGCCGAUACUGACGCUGAGGAGCGAAAGCGUGGGGAGCGAACAGGAUUAGAUACCCUGGUAGUCCACGCCGUAAACGGUGGGCACUAGUGUGGGCAACAUUCCACGUUGUCCGUGCCGCAGCUAACGCAUUAAGUGCCCCGCCUGGGGAGUACGGCCGCAAGGCUAAACUCAAGGAAUGACGGGGGCCCGCACAAGCGGCGGAGCAUGGUGGCUUAAUUUCG
rnacentral:rRNA from 1 species